CCUACGGGGGGCAGCAGUGGGGAAUAUUGCGCAAUGGGGGCAACCCUGACGCAGCAACGCCGCGUGAUUGAAGAAGGCCUUCGGGUUGUAAAGAUCUUUUAUGAGGGACGAAGGAAGUGACGGUACCUCAUGAAUAAGCCACGGCUAACUACGUGCCAGCAGCCGCGGUAAUACGUAGGUGGCGAGCGUUAUCCGGAUUUACUGGGUGUAAAGGGCGUGUAGGCGGGCUUGCAAGUCAGAUGUGAAAACUAUGGGCUCAACCCAUAGCCUGCAUUUGAAACUGUAGGUCUUGAGUGAUGGAGAGGCAGGCGGAAUUCCGUGUGUAGCGGUGAAAUGCGUAGAUAUACGGAGGAACACCAGUGGCGAAGGCGGCCUGCUGGACAUUAACUGACGCUGAGGCGCGAAAGCGUGGGGAGCAAACAGGAUUAGAUACCCGAGUAGUC
rnacentral:rRNA from 1 species